rnacentral:misc_RNA from 1 species
AACCAUAGAAACCUGCGGAGUACCUGCGGAGGGAUCAUUACCGAGUUUACAACUCCCAAACCCCUGUGAACAUACCACUUGUUGCCUCGGCGGAUCAGCCCGCUCCCGGUAAAACGGGACGGCCCGCCAGAGGACCCCUAAACUCUGUUUCUAUAUGUAACUUCUGAGUAAAACCAUAAAUAAAUCAAAACUUUUAGCAACGGAUCU